GAACUGCCCAGAAAUGGGGGACAAGGAGGCCAGAGAGUACAGCACCCUUGGGAAGCAAAGAAGAGCAAAGCAAGGUCCGCGAGUGGGUCCAAGGGCAAAAGCAAGUGGCCUGCAUGUCUGUGCAUCUUUGAGGUUCCUGGAAGGCUGAGUGCGGAACUUCCUGAGGCAAAACUCCUGUGGACCCACCAGGAAGCUGGUCUUGAAAGAUGCUGCACCCACCGGACGACUCGUCCACUCACUAGAGACUCACUUUGCCGGAGAAGGGCUCGGGCGUCGUUGGAAGAACCCAAAGCCAGGCAUGAAAGGACCUCAGCCAGGGAGGGCACCGCAUUCACACAAAUGCUGCGUGUUCCCAUGGAAACAGCACAAAACCUGACCGAGGAAAUGAAUGCCGAAUGUAAACUAUUUGUUUAAUUUUAAUGGGAGUCAAUUUUUAGCAGUGUAUUCCCAGUGCUAUUUGAAAUUUUCAUAGGGUAACAGUAAAUGCCUCUAAUCUUUUUGUUUUUAAUUGGCUUUUCCAGUGGACUGAUUCCCUGUGAAUAAAGGGGAGAAAUGCAAAGCAAUGUAAACAAAGCCAAAAGCAGGAGCAACUCCAGGGCAAACGGAGGCAGAGUCCUCGCGUAUCUGUGAUCAGCACCGGCCCAUCCUGGGUGCAAGAGAGCCCGCUGCCAACUCACCCCCGUCACAGCAGCUGCCUCAGCCUCCCCAGCCAGCUGUCCCUAGCCCUGGCCCUCACCACCCCUGCCAGCCCAUGCCAUCCUCAGUUUCGGGGCUCACUGCGGCUGCCUCUGGGCUUGAGGGAAGGGCAGUGGUGGGCGGGAGAGGCGGGAGGCUCUUCUAUGGUGCCCGUGGAGUUGUUUCCUGUGUGGGGUGCAGGCUGCCCAGCUGUGUUCACUGUGAAAAUC
ensembl:lincRNA